rnacentral:misc_RNA from 1 species
UGCCUAAAUCGUAACAAAAAAAUGUAGAUGUCAAAGAUUCUGAGAUGUCAAAAUCCAAUGUUGAUAGUGAUGGUUUUCAAAUAGUAAAAUCGAAACGUUCUACUAAAAACAAACAAACCAAAGUUCCUCCGAAGAACUUGCAAUUUCACGGGGAGGAUGUAAAUAUUGACGUCGCAACAUCCGUGUGCCGAAUACAAUCAUCUGUGGAAGAAUUAAAGGUUUCUGAAUACUUUAAAAGCAUAACUAAUACUGUGUAAUCAUGGCUUCGAUUACAACGAAACCUGCUUUAGUGACUUUGCGCGGUUGCUCUCGAGGUUGCGG